AGAGCGAACGCUGGCGGCAGGCUUAACACAUGCAAGUCGAGCGGGCGUAGCAAUACGUCAGCGGCAGACGGGUGAGUAACGCGUGGGAACGUACCUUUUGGUUCGGAACAACCCAGGGAAACUUGGGCUAAUACCGGAUAAGCCCUUACGGGGAAAGAUUUAUCGCCGAAAGAUCGGCCCGCGUCUGAUUAGCUAGUUGGUGGGGUAAUGGCCCACCAAGGCGACGAUCAGUAGCUGGUCUGAGAGGAUGAUCAGCCACAUUGGGACUGAGACAAACGGCCCAAACUCCUACGGGAGGCAGCAGUGGGGAAUAUUGGACAAUGGGCGCAAGCCUGAUCCAGCCAUGCCGCGUGAGUGAUGAAGGCCCUAGGGUUGUAAAGCUUCUUUUGUGCGGGAAGAUAAUGACGGUACCGCAAGAAUAACGCCCGGCUAACUUCGCGCCAGCAGCCGC
rnacentral:rRNA from 1 species